GGGAGGCGGCUCGACCCAGAGCUCGAGGCCAAAGCCGUGCGGUAUGGCACACUGUAGAAAGGGAAAACAGCUCCGUUCUAGCUUUAAAACGCUCCGUUAAAAAGACGAACCCCCACCGCCCGCCUCUUCCUCUUCCGCCGUCCGCCCGUCGGAGCUCCGCCUCGGCAGCAGCCGCGGUGCGGGAGCCCCGGUUGCCACUGAAAGGAUGCUGGUGUUUGAGAUCAGCUGUUUGCUGAGUAAGGCAGAACCACAACCUGGCAGGUGAAAUCAGAAAAGCUAGAAGAAGAACAUACUGUUCUUUUUCUUUGCAUUUUGAAGUUGAUUAUCCGUUAGAAGAAACUCCAAAGGCCAGUUCUGUCUCCUGAGAUUUUUGAAUCAAGAUAUGAUCCCAUUUUGGAUAUUGUAGUUAAGCUCAAGUUACUGAGUUUAGUUCUGAGGUUAGGAUUUGACUAUGGGAGUGCGGUUCCUGCAGAAGGCAUCUGUCUGGUUAAAGAAGCACAAGAUGACUCUGUUGGCUACUUCUUGCGUGGGACUGUUUGGCGCUAACCUUUCCUAUCAUGUAUUUCCUGAGCAGACGUUCAAACUGUUGCACGAGUGCUGGUCAGAUGGGCAGCCAGCUGAGCUUUCUCAGAAGCUCUGUGCUGUCUUUCAGGAUGUCCUUCAAGAUACUGCAGUGAAUUCCACCAACUACCAAGCUUUUGCAGCUUCUGGCUUCCACCCGGUCAGUGCUGGAAUCCCCUGGCUGCCUGCGGGUUCUUUGGUGGGCAUCCCUCCUAAUUUUGAUAGCACCGCUGAGGAUAAAAGAGGAAUAGUCAACCACGUUGUUGUGAUUGGCGGCAGGGAAGUAGACUGGGAAAGCAACGAAGGUGUUGCUUUGAAGGAAGCUCUGACAUUUUCACCUGAAGCACAGAAGUUUGCACUUGCCAGAGAAAUUGUGUAUUUGCAGAACAGCAGCCCGUUAGCAAGUGCAGCUGUAGCUCCAACAUGCUUAGCUGGUACGUGUCUCUGUGGGAUAGGUAUAAAGAUAGCUCUGGGUCUGUAUUCUGGCCCCAGGAUACUUCGCAGCAUCUGUAACUUCAUAAUUGCUGCUGCUGGACUAAUCCUCUAUUACAUUUCUUAUGAUGCUAUGACCUAUCACCUGGACUGCAAGGCUGACAGAGAUGCAGCUACUGUAUCAAAAGACUAUGCCAAUGGUGGGGUGGAAUUUUAUGACAAAAUCCUGUCCCGCAACAGGAUUCUUCGUGCUCUGAUGGGCGAAGAAGGGACAAAAAUAUAUGCCCCAAGUGGUAACCUUUUCCCAAGGUACUGGUUCAGACUAAAGUAUACCCCGUACACUUACCGAAGAGAUUUAAUUGUUAAUAUUUUAAAAGAGCUCCAGGCAUAGGAAGGGAGUGCUUGAAUUUUAAACUUGUGAAUUAUGUAUUCUCUUUGGAACACUGCUGUGCUGCUUUUUUUUUUUUCCUUCUUCUUUUCUGUGUCUUCAUUAGAAUUUUGGGGUUUAUUUUUGCAUAUAGUUUGGAAGGAGUUAUUGCGCAUUCCGCGAAUAAAGAAUUUUCCCUUAAAAUAUUAAAGAGUUGCUUCAAAAGUGCUCCGCUCUGUGUGCAUCUUAAAUCACAAGACCACUGAGGAAGGGAGCUGCUCAGAUGCUAAUCUGGAGGUUGUGCUGCUCUGCUCCCCCUUGCUGCCAGUUCCAGGCUGGGAAAUGGAAAAGAAUGUCAUUAGGUACAGCUUUCCAGAGGAGCAGAGCCACUCAGAAGUUUAAAUGUGAUGAUGAGUUACAGAUGCAAAGUGUGUCUAUAAAUCAGGUCAUGGGAGCUGGUCACAGGGAGCUGCAGCACUUCUAGCAGAUGGUUAUUUGGAGCAGAAGGGACCACGUAACAUUUGGGUUUUCUCCUGACGAAUGGCAAGAAUCAGCUCCAACCCAGUGACCUGUUACAAGUCUGCCAGCAAAAUCAGAAGUUAAUUUCAGGUCUAGUGAUGGGCUCACAACUGGAUCCCUGAGGAGCUCGGCAGCGCUCCUGUGUGCCACUCCCAGAGGUGGGCAGAAUCCUUCAAAUGGCAGAGCCCUGAUUUCUGAGGAUCAUUGCAAAGCAAACUCAAUUUCAUGCAGGUUGUGACCUCUUGUUUGAGUGCUCAGAGAUUUGUGACCUACUUCAUGACUGAGCUUUUUGUUUGCUUUUAGCUCUUUGGAUGGAGAAACUAAGAAGUAAGAUAAAUGCCGGAGGACAAAUGUUUAUUUUUAACACUAGCUUCUCAGUGUAACUAACUGUAGUUGUCUUGCUUUUUCUCCUGACCCUCACUAGGUCUUCCAUACCUCACAUGAAGCGUUAAGUGGAAUGCCACCAAAAUUAAAUCUCUGAAACUCGAACCUCCGAGACAGACCCUGAUGUAUGUACUUCAUCACGUGAGAAGGACUGUGCAGAAGUACUGGUCUGGCUCUCCUGCACCAGAAGGUGAACAAAGGAGCACAAAUCUAUACACCAAAACCUGCCUCUGGGCACAGCUGAUGGUGAAGAGUCCUCUGGAAGCACCACUGCUGCAGACGGGAUCAGGCCAAGAAACUAAUGAUGGGGUUGCAGAGCCAGUUCCUCAUGAUACGGCAUGGAAAUGUGCUGCCUUGGGCAGAAAUACAAAGUAGAUGAAUUCUGAGUGUCACCACUGAUCCACAUUGGCAAGCAGUUACAGAGGCAUCUGUGUUGGCCUGGUGGCACCAACCAGUAUGUAGCACAAGAUUCAAGGGUUACCAUGUUUGUCCUUGCUAAAUCUUCUAAGCAAGAUGGUGAAGUGUUCAGAUGUGUUUACUCCCUCAUCCCUUCAUAGGAUGCCAGCCAGGAAGAUUAAGGUGGGGGAUCCUUAUUUUCCUGUCUUGGUGCAAGGGAGUGCCUUGGAGCAGGGAUGCUCUUGGGAUAAUCCCUUGCAGUGCUUUACAGCCUGUCCCUAAUUACUCGGUGUUUUCCUGUUCCUCUGAGCUGCCUGUGGUCCCACCCUGCGGCUCCAGCACAAUCAGAACACUCCUGUUUUCUGAGAACAGAGGAAAGGGCAGCAGGCAUCAACAAAAAACUAUCUCCCAUAGGCAAUUAAGUGGCACGGGCUGGGGUGGGAGGAAACAAACCCCAGUUUUUUACUUGGCUAUGUGGAGAGGGAUUUCUUCUUGUGUACUUUUAUCUAUCCCAAAGGUGACUUUGAGAGUUUGGCAAUGCUCCUGCCAAAGCCAAGCAUUCAAAGAGGAGAUUGUUCCCAAAUUCUGAAACACAAAAUAUGUUUGCAUUUUAAUUUGCAUUCUGUUUCUUUUUUUUCCCCUUUACUUUCAUAUUUCCAAGUCCCCACAACUCUUAUGGCUAGAAACAUCACGAGGAUUCUUAUCAUCAGCACUACUGCUGCUUGUGACAAUAAUACAUAAAAGCUAAGGUUUUUAGAUAAUAAGCGAAUUUCAUGAGCUGUGGGCUGUAAGAACAGAGAGUUCAGAUCAGAUUAAAGCCACAUUAAUACUGGAACUAAUUGGUAGCUUCGUUGCUGGUGUCUCUGUAGAGAUGAAACGAUGAGCCACCCUGUCCUCAGUGUGUGGUCCCUUUGUGGCUGAGGGAGAUAGGUACAGGUAGAAUAGUUGUGUGAAUGCACUGCAAUGCUGUAUUACCAUUUUUUAACUCAGUCUAUCAUCAGUGGGGCUGACACUCUGCUACUGGCUUCUCAGCACCUGUUUCUCUACUAACCCAGAAGCCUAUGUAUGCCUGUGCUGAGGGUCUAUUCAAGGCUCUAUCCAGGUAGCAGCAGCCCAGUCAGCGACUCUCUGGUCCUCUCCUCUGCUGGAUGUUUCUGAGGCAGGACAUCAUCUGGUAUUCUCCAUCCAUACUAUUUUCAGGCUGUAUAUAUUUUUAAAUAAAAAGAAACACACACAACCA